CUAUAUGUCGCCUGAAGGUAAGGUUCUUGCAGAUCAUGAAUGAAUUGAAUAAUUACACUUACGGAGUAUGCUAUGUCUAAUCUAGUGUGAGCUAGAUAUAUGAACCUCCCACUGACCUCUGGUACAUUUCUCUAUUCAUUACAGUUUCUUUUU